AGCUUUUGCAAAAUUUUGGUGAAUCUCCUCAUUUUCCAUUCAAAAUAGGAUGUGGCAUAUGGCACAGCAGAAACACCAGGCCAGCUGCAAACCUUGACACUCUCUAAUACAACUAAUUCCUAACAACAUACUUUUAAGGAACGUUGUAAACAUGAAAAAAUUAAAAUGAAAAAUUAUGACAUACAGCAUAUGUAACAUUGGGUCAACCAAUCAAG
rnacentral:misc_RNA from 1 species